AGUGGCGAACGGGUGAGUAACACGUGGGUGAUCUGCCCUGCACUCUGGGAUAAGCCUGGGAAACUGGGUCUAAUACCGGAUAUGAGCUCCUGUCGCAUGGCGGGGGUUGGAAAGGUUUACUGGUGCAGGAUGGGCCCGCGGCCUAUCAGCUUGUUGGUGGGGUAAUGGCCUACCAAGGCGACGACGGGUAGCCGGCCUGAGAGGGCGACCGGCCACACUGGGACUGAGACACGGCCCAGACUCCUACGGGAGGCAGCAGUGGGGAAUAUUGCACAAUGGGCGAAAGCCUGAUGCAGCGACGCCGCGUGAGGGAUGACGGCCUUCGGGUUGUAAACCUCUUUCAGCAGGGACGAAGCGAGAGUGACGGUACCUGCAGAAGAAGCACCGGCCAACUACGUGCCAGCAGCCGCGGUAAUACGUAGGGUGCGAGCGUUGUCCGGAAUUACUGGGCGUAAAGAGCUCGUAGGCGGUUUGUCGCGUCGUCCGUGAAAACUUGGGGCUCAACCCCAAGCUUGCGGGCGAUACGGGCAGACUUGAGUACUGCAGGGGAGACUGGAAUUCCU
rnacentral:rRNA from 1 species